rnacentral:pre_miRNA from 1 species
UUUCUACUCCCUCCGUCCAAAAAUACUUGUCAUCAAAAUGGAUAAAAAGAGAUGUAUCUAAAACUAAAAUACGUCUAGAUACAUUUCCUUUUAUCCAUUUUGAUGACAAGUAUUUCCGGACAGAGGGAGUAUUUG